GAUGAACGCUAGCGGCAGGCCUAAUACAUGCAAGUCGGACGGGAUUCAGGAGCUUGCUUCUGAUGAGAGUGGCGCACGGGUGCGUAACACGUAUGUAACCUACCUUUAUCAGGGGGAUAGCCUCUCGAAAGAGAGAUUAAGCCCGCAUAAAAUCACAGCACAGCAUUGUGUAAUGAUCAAAUAUUUAUAGGAUAAAGAUGGGCAUGCGGAACAUUAGCUAGAUGGCGGGGUAACGGCCCACCAUGGCGACGAUGUUUAGGGGAUCUGAGAGGAUGGCCCCCCACACUGGUACUGAGACACGGACCAGACUCCUACGGGAGGCAGCAGUAAGGAAUAUUGGUCAAUGGGCGGAAGCCUGAACCAGCCAUGCCGCGUGCAGGAAGACGGCCCUACGGGUUGUAAACUGCUUUUAGACGGGAAUAAACCCAGAUACGUGUAUCUGGCUGAAUGUACUGUAAGAAUAAGGAUCGGCUAACCCCGUG
rnacentral:rRNA from 1 species